CGCGUCAACUUAUGGUCUUUUGUAGUCAUUACCAGCUCAUGGUAGAUGACCCAGUCUGGUUGUCUCGGGAAAGGAGCACUUCUGGGGUGGAUAUAACUGGCUGGUUCUCAACCAAAGUCCGAUAACCCUCAUGUGGGUCCUUUCUAGCUGCAUGGAAAAAGAAUCCAGCUGUAAUCGCUUUCAUUAUCUUGUAUAUCAGGACAAACACAACAGCAGAUAUGCAAUGAACAGGCUUUUCAUGCAAAUGCUCAACCACAACCAUAUUAGCCAAGGCCAAAUAUCAUUGUUCUUAAUCAUGCACAAGUCUCAGAAAACUCAAUUUGGAAGCUUUGACCCUCGCAUUCUCUCUUUUUUUCUUCAUUUUCUAGGUGCCCAAACGAGGGUUUAGUAAAGAAUUUUUUUUUUGUUUUUGAUUUUGUUCUUCUGGGUCCUUUAGAUCUUGAACUGCAAGGAAGAAAGUUUAGAAUUUUUGAGAUGGUUGUUCAUGAAUGUUUGUUCCUGGAAGUGUUAGUGUUAUUGUUUGUUGUUUUUGGAAUAAAUUGUUGGUGCUUGAAUGGAUCGCGGCUCUUAGAAGGACAUACAAAAUAUUGUUUGUGGGUUUUUAUUAGUUAAUGUGAAUAGUCUUGGUUUUGUUUUUCUUCAAUAGAAAUAAAGCGUGUUUUAGAUUAGGGAAGUUCAGUUCUGUUUAUUUUACGUUAGUGAUUAAUGUUUGUGUAUGCAUUCAGAGUUAGACUUUUUCGGUUAUCAAGUAGUAGGGGCCAGUGAUGUGACAAAAUAUUUGCUACUCUUGAUGGGUUUCAAGGAAUCCAUUUGAUGUUAGUUUCCACCAAGAUCUCUGAGCCCAUGAAUCCUUUUGGUUUCAAAUUAUUUUCUUGGGAGUUUUUAUUGGCUGGUAAAAUGAGAUGUUGUAACGUGUUUGCUGACCCUGGCAUCAGUGGUUAUCAAUUAUGCUUUGGUGUCAAAUGUACCCUGCUAGAGCAUUACCUACUAAUUUCUGUGUUUGGAGUAGGUUAUAGUUCAGUGAAAAUGUGUAUUCCAUUGUAUUUGUUGUCUUUUUUAAGUAAGGUCUCCAAGUGUUUUUGGUUUUAAUUCUGCUUUUUUUUUUUAUUAACGCAGAUCAUUGAUGUUCUUCAUCCUGGCUGAGCCAAGGUUUCUAAGGCAGAGCUGAAGGAGAAGCUGGCAAAUUUGUAUGAGGUGAAGGACCCCAAUACAAUCCUAAGCAUCUUCGCGUACCUUUCCCUCAGCCUCAAACGGUCUCGGACUAGAGCUUUCUUCGAGUCAAAAAAUAAAAAAAAUAAAAAACUCCAAGUGAUUUUACCAAAUAAUUGUUAUUUUCAAUCUUAAAUUGAUCCAAAUAAUUGUUAAUGGCUGCACAAGUGAUAGCCAUAUCUAUGUCAAGAAGACCUCACUUGUUAUUUUCAGGGGUAUAAAUGUUUCCGGAGCUUUUCAAAACAUUACAAGUUUCAAGACA